UUCGCAAGCGAACUGAUCAAAACCCACACUCGGUGACGGACGUUUUGUUCGUUUUGCUUGCGAUCA
rnacentral:pre_miRNA from 1 species